UGCUGGAGUUGAUGGAGGCCGACAUCGCCCGGGUGUACACCGAGGCGGGGUUGGGGUGGUACCGGCCGCGGUUCAGCGCCUACGUCCGGUUGC
rnacentral:tRNA from 1 species